GAUGAACGCUGGCGGCGUGCCUAAUACAUGCAAGUCGAGCGAACAGACGAGUAGCUUGCUCCUCUGACGUUAGCGGCGGACGGGUGAGUAACACGUGGAUAACCUACCUAUAAGACUGGGAUAACUUCGGGACACCGUCGCUAAUACCGGAUAAUAUAUUGAACCGCAUGGUUCAAUAGUGAAAGACGGUUUUGCUGUCACUUAUAGAUGUAUCCGCGCCGCAUUAGCUAGUUGGUAAGGUAACGGCUUACCAAGGCGACGAUGCGUAGCCGACGUGAGAGGGUGAUCGGCCACACUGGAACGGAGACACGGUCCAGAGUCCUACGGGAGGCAGCAGUAGGGAAUCUGCCGCAAUGGGCGAAAGCCUGACGGAGCAACGCCGCGUGAGUGAUGAAGGUCUUCGGAUCGUAAAACUCUGUUAUUAGGGAAGAACAAAUGUGUAAGUAACUAUGCACGUCUUGACGGUACCUAAUCAGAAAGCCACGGCUAACUACGUG
rnacentral:rRNA from 1 species